rnacentral:rRNA from 1 species
AAUGAACGCUGGCGGCAUGCCUAACACAUGCAAGUCGAACGAAGGCUUCGGCCUUAGUGGCGCACGGGUGCGUAACGCGUGGGAAUCUGCCCUUGGGUUCGGAAUAACAGUUAGAAAUGACUGCUAAUACCGGAUGAUGUCGUAAGACCAAAGAUUUAUCGCCCAAGGAUGAGCCCGCGUAGGAUUAGCUAGUUGGUGGGGUAAAGGCCCACCAAGGCGACGAUCCUUAGCUGGUCUGAGAGGAUGAUCAGCCACACUGGGACUGAGACACGGCCCAGACUCCUACGGGAGGCAGCAGUGGGGAAUAUUGGACAAUGGGCGAAAGCCUGAUCCAGCAAUGCCGCGUGAGUGAUGAAGGCCUUAGGGUUGUAAAGCUCCUUUACCCGGGAUGAUAAUGACAGUACCGGGAGAAUAAGCUCCGGCUAACUUCGUGCCAGCCGCCGCAGUAAAAC